rnacentral:rRNA from 1 species
AUUGAACGCUGGCGGCAGGCCUAACACAUGCAAGUCGAACGGUAACAGGAAGCAGCUUGCUGCUUUGCUGACGAGUGGCGGACGGGUGAGUAAUGUCUGGGAAACUGCCCGAUGGAGGGGGAUAACUACUGGAAACGGUAGCUAAUACCGCAUAACGUCGCAAGACCAAAGAGGGGGACCUUAGGGCCUCUUGCCAUCGGAUGUGCCCAGGUGGGAUUAGCUGGUAGGUGGGGUAACGGCUCACCUAGGCGACGAUCCCCAGCUGGUCUGAGAGGAUGACCAGCCACACUGGAACUGAGACACGGUCCAGACUCCUACGGGAGGCAGCAGUGGGGAAUAUUGCACAAUGGGCGCAAGCCUGAUGCAGCCAUGCCGCGUGUAUGAAGAAGGCCUUCGGGUUGUAAAGUACUUUCAGCGGGGAGGAAGGGAGUAAAGUUAAUACCUUGGCUCAUUGACGUUACCCGCAGAAGAAGCACCGGCUAACUCCGUG